rnacentral:lncRNA from 1 species
GAUAUAGGUUUGUGUCGGUGGGGAAACCACUUUGCCAACAUAAACUGGUGGUUUCCCAAGAACAAGCUUAGUGUCCUAAAAUAAGCACUGAUCAGAUCGUAACAUGAGCUUUUAAUUAUUUGCAACAUUACCUUGUGUAUUGAGCAUAUAAGGAUAAAUGUAAAAAUACUCCUUCUGUUAUUCUUGUCACUAACCUUUCCAGUAUUGGAGCA